CUCAGGUGUAGGGCUGUUGGGAGGCAAAUAGUUUUCGCAACAUAAGGAAGUUCAAUUCCUUAGUUUCAAUAGAAGAAAUGUAUGUUUUAUGCAACUAAACUAUUUGCUACAGAUUUGAAGCACAUUUUCCUCUGAAAGACGUAUAUAGCUCCACAACUCAUUCUCUGUGCUAGCACACUUAGGAGCGGCUACAAUAACUGGUGGGAGGAUUUCAAACUACUACUUCAGUCUCUCUUCUGCAGACGAGCACAUCCUGCCUUACAUCUAGGAUACCAUUGAUGCUCCAUGGUCAUGUUUCAGGUGGAAUCUGAAUAUGCAUGUCAAGCUGGGAUUCAGAAGAUACGACUUUGGGACCACAGCCUCCCUCUUUGUUAUUGGUGGCUGAACGGCUGCGCAGAAUUAGAAAGCAGCCACGAAGAACUAAAGAGGACUUUCUACGUGAUGUCAUGGUGCUCUCUAUAGCCGAGAAACAAGAAUUGAAGGAGUGGUGGGACAGCGAGAAGAGGGACCAAAAUGAGAACACAGCAUGGCAGAAUGAAGCCACGGAGCAGCUCAAACAUUAUGGAGCACCAAGCAGACAUACUCCAGGCUCUACUAGCACUGCAAACCAAGCAGCUCUGCACCCACCCUCCCCUGCACGGUCACUGUCACAAAACUAUUUCCCAUGCACCCCCUCCACCAGUCCCUCUUAUCAACCUCCUGGCUCCAGUCUGUACCUACAGCAUUCCACUUGUCCCCCAGCACCCACUGCACUCAACACCCAUCCCUCUGCAAUUUGACCCUGCUGAAGUACAGCACCUGCUGCACAGUAUUCCAAAGGAGGAGAAGACAGGAUAGGAUCCCUGGAUAUACACAAAUCUUUAACUGUCCUGGGACCCCACCUCCUCCUGGGACCCUCCCUUCCCCCAUCCCUCUCAGUGCUGAUGUCUUUGACUCUUUCCUCCAGAUUUUUUUUUAAUAGAAGUGUUGUGUCGGUUUGAAAGCAAACAAAGCCCUGCAAAGCAACAAAAAAUUAUCUUAAACCUUCAUAUCGCAUUGUCUGCGCCAGUCACAAUCACCUCCUAGCAUUACAAGCACUGCACUCUCAAGCUUAGCAACAAAUAUUAGUGGCUUUCAGCUUCAAAUUGCUGCCUCAAGUCAUCCCUGAACCUUGUGGCCCCACAAUGUGCCCCUCUAAUAGCCCUGGUCUCUGGCUGUUCAAAUUCAGCCCCAGGUGCUAAGCCUCAGCAAUCCACCCGAGUGAAGUUCUCACCUUUCCCUUCACAAAUAUUAUGGCGCGUACGGCACAUGGCUAUAGGCAUAGGUAUAUUGUCAUCGGCCAGGUACAGCUUCCCAUAAAGGCAGCACCAGUGGGCCUUUAAACAGCCAAAAGCAAACUCAGUCAUUCUGCACGCUCUCAGCCUGUUGAGCUGCUCCUUGUUGCUGUCAAGGUGCCCCAGGUAUGGGUUCAUAAGCCACAGCAUUAAGGAGUAGAUGGGGUCUCCCAUGAUCACAAAGGGCAUUUUGACCUCCCCUACAGUGAUCUUGUGGUCUGGGAAGACAAUCCCUACUUGCCGCUUCCUGAACAGGCCAGUAUUCCGAAAGAUGCAUGCGCCAUGCACCUCUACGGACAAGCCUGCGUUAAUGUCUGUGAAACGUCCACAAUGAUCCACAAGCAUCUGGAGAACCAUUGAGAAACACCCCUUCCAAUUAAUGUACUCAGUGGCUAGGUGGUCUGGUGCCCAAAUUGGAAUGUGUACGCCAUCUAUCGCCCCUCCACAGUUAGGGAAGCCCAUUUGUACAAAGCCAUCCACAAUGUCAUGCACAUUGCCCAGAGUCAUGGUCUUUCAGAGCACAAUGCAAUUAAUGGCCCUGCACACUUCCAUCAACACAAGUCCAGUGGUUGACUUUCCUAUUCUGAACUGGUUAGCGACCGACCAGUAGCAGCCUGGAGUAGCCAGCUUCCACAGUGCAAUCACCAUAUGCUUCUCCAGCAAUAGGGCAGCUCUCAUUCUCACGUCUGUGUGUCACAGGGCUGGGCAAGUUAAUCACACAGUCCUAUGAAUGCAGCUUUCCUCAUCUGAAAGUUCUGCAGCCACUGCUCAUCAUCCCAGUGAUCCCACCACUCAGUGCUUGUUUCCCAAGCCCAAAAGCAGCAUUCCACUGUGAUCAGCAUCUCAUGUCGUAGCUUCUACAUGUGGUGAGAUCAAUGUCACACUCCUCUUGCUUGUAGUUUAAGGAAUAACUCCACUGCCACUUAAGAUGUUGUCAUAAAUAUAAAGGGAAGGGUACCCACCCUUCUGUAUACAGUGCUAUAAAAUUCCCCCUGGCCAGAGGCAAAACCCUUUCACCUGUAAAGGGUUAAGAAGCUAAGAUAACCUCACUGGGACCUGACCAAAAUGACCAAUGAGGAGACAAGAUACUUUCAAAGCUGGAUGGGGGGGGAACAAAGGGUCUGUCUGAUACUUUUGCUGGGAACAGAUCAGGAAUGCAGCUCAGAACUCCUAUAAAAAGUUAGUAAGUAAUCUAGCUAGAAAUGCAUUAGAUUUCCUUUUGUUCAAUGGCUGGUAAAAUAGCU